rnacentral:rRNA from 1 species
CGGCGGACGGGUGAGUAACGCGUAGGAAUCUACCCGGUAGUGGGGGACAACUUGUGGAAACGCAAGCUAAUACCGCAUACGCCCUAUGGGGGAAAGCGGGGGAUCUUCGGACCUCGCGCUAUCGGAUGAGCCUGCGUAGGAUUAGCUAGUUGGUGGGGUAAAGGCUCACCAAGGCGACGAUCCUUAGCUGGUCUGAGAGGAUGAUCAGCCACACUGGAACUGAGACACGGUCCAG